rnacentral:rRNA from 1 species
AUUGAACGCUGGCGGCAUGCUUUACACAUGCAAGUCGAACGGUAACAGGGAGCUUGCUCCGCUGACGAGUGGCGAACGGGUGAGUAAUGCGUCGGAACGUGCCGAGUAGUGGGGGAUAACGCAUCGAAAGGUGUGCUAAUACCGCAUACGAACUGAGGUUGAAAGUGGGGGACCUUCGGGCCUCACGCUAUUCGAGCGGCCGACGUCUGAUUAGCUAGUUGGUGAGGUAAAGGCUCACCAAGGCGACGAUCAGUAGCGGGUCUGAGAGGAUGAUCCGCCACACUGGGACUGGGACACGGCCCAGACUCCUACGGGAGGCAGCAGUGGGGAAUUUUGGACAAUGGGCGCAAGCCUGAUCCAGCCAUGCCGCGUGUCUGAAGAAGGCCUUCGGGUUGUAAAGGACUUUUGUCCGGGAGCAAAUGCUGGUGGCUAACAUCCACCGGAGCUGAGAGUACCGGAAGAAUAAGCACCGGCUAACUACGUGCCAGCAGCCGCGGUAA